ACAUAGCAUCAGAACUUCUGCACACAAAUGAUCCGAUUAUGAGAAACAAAAGCUCCCUAGACACCUUAAAAAAUGCAUCUGACUUUUUUCUCCUUCAAACUCAUUUGCACCCGAGGGUUCUUUUUAAGGCCGUUUCCCCCGUGGAAGGGAAGAGGGUAGGGGGAGUGGGAGGAGGAGGAGGAGAUGUGUGUGCGGCAUUUGAUGUUUGAGAGCAAAGCUCUGGUGUUCAUUUAGUUGGCGCUUUGUUUGGACUGGCGCUGCUUGGACUGGGGGAGUGUAGACUACUGCAACCGAGGUCUCCGGAAACAAAAGAAGAUUUUGUUGAAACAGGAUUAAGUUGUUGUUGAAGCAAGCAAAAGCCGGUGCAGAAAAUCAGCUUCGUUCUAAAGCUAAUUUUCUGAAUGCAAAGAGAAUGUGUAAGCAGGAAACCUCUGGAAGACUCCCCCCUCUCCACUUUAGGAGACAUUUUUCUAAGCAAACUGAAAACCUUUUUUGUCACCCCUGAUGGAACGUGUAUUUUUUAAAAGUUAGAUUUCUCCCACCUCCCACACUUCGAGCUGGGGGUACGAAGGUUUAUUGCCAUUGUUAGGGGGAACUGAAGUCAUUCAUUCCCCCCCCCCAUUCCUUAACCCACCCCCAACCCCGCAGUCUCCACCUCCCCGACCACUACCCAGGGUCACUCUCGUUAAUCAUUUCUAUACUGAAAAUCACUGGAGCGGGAGCUCCUCUAACAAAGGUGUAGACGAGCUGACGGGGGCUAUCUGGGCUGUGGUGUCUUAAACGUCUCCGCUGCAACCCGCAACCUCGAUUCCCCACCCUCCAGAUCUAAGGAGAAAUAAACCAGAAGGGAAAUCCUCUAGCAGGGACUGCGGGUUUUCUCCUUCGAGGGGAGAGAGAAACCUGCUACAAUUUUUAUCAGCCGGGUGUAAGGAGUCGGGGCUCAGAGCAGCGGUGCAGCCAUUGGCUACUGUAGCUGGAGAGAAUCGUGACUGUAGGAAAGCCUCUUUUCCGCCCACCCAGCUUUCAAGGCCCGCUCCCUCUGCCCCCCCCUCCGCCCCCACGGCCCUUUUUCUCUUCCCUUCUCCGAGCGCCAGGAUCCCCUGCGCCUGCGCAGAACUUUCUCUCUUCCUCCUCCCCGCAGCGGGGACUGAAUGUUACGUAAUUGAGUAGACAGGUGCUGGGAGCAAAGGGCGGGAUUUUCGCCCCGAGCUGGGGGUAGGGGCAAGGGCUACCAGGAGAAGGGGUGUCCUAUGGCUAGAGGGGCCGGUUUCUUGCCCGGCCUGGAGGAGGCGGAGGGAAAGAAAUCUCUAGAAAUGUGUGCCUGAGGUUGCAGACCAAACAGCCUGGGAUUGCGAACGACACAAUGGAAUCUUUAAUUCGAUAGAGGAAGGAGGUUUGGUAUUUGCUCAUCCAUUAACAAACAACACCUGUCCAGAGAUGGAAGGAGGUCUAUAUUGACUUUGAAUUAGACCGGGACCAGUUAAACAACAACAAAAGGGGGUUAUUCGGGGCUUCAAUCAGCCCUCUCCGCCUCCACACUCUGCCUGAAACCUGUUAUCUCACAAUAUUGCUCCGGAUAGCCUCCACCUUUGGUCACAUCGCAAUAACUCAAAUUUCCAUAGCGAUUUAAAGGUCCCGCUUCCUCCCCGCCCAUUCCCCAGCUCUAGCUCUGGUCAAGUAAUCCAAACGAGCCACAUUUCUCGAAGUGUGAGGGUUUACAGAGCUUUAUUUGCAACAACUCUGUGGUUUAUGUACACCAGAUACAAACAAACCUGAACUCAGUGGCUGGUGCCUCGGAACUGAGGCAGCUGGAUGGUUCAGUGGUCAGGUAGUUCAAUGGUUAGGGUCCUGAAUUUUGGGGGGUCAGGAAGAUCUGAGUUCCAACCCAGCCUCCUUCAGUCUCUCAAUCAAGCUUUUAGAAGAUGAGCCAGCCCCUGCUAAAAAGGCAGGCAAAGACAGAAAUGACAUUCCUUGUCCUCCAAGCGCUUCCAUUCCGAAAGGGAAGACACCAUGGAGUUAUGUGUCUGCAUGGACCUGCAAAAUGAAUACAGGGGAAUUGGGAGAGAGAGGGCACUAGCAGUUGGGAAGUGGGGGGCAGGGGGACAUGAAGAAAGGCUUCCUGUAGAAAGAAGGAUACUUAGAAGGGGAGAUGAGAUUCUAUUCCUAGUAGGGAAUGGAUUAGCCAGUUGGAGGUGUGGAGGCAGAAGGAGGAAUGUCCUGUAGGAUGAGGGAAAUAAUAUUUCCCUGGAAAGGCAGGAAGUGACUUAGGAGACAGCCAGAUGGCACAGCCCUGGACCUGGAGUCAGGAAGAGCAGGGUUCAAAUACAGCCUCAGACACUUUCUAGCUCUGGCUCAGGGCAAGUCAUUCACCUCUCAGAUAAUAAUUUCAUAAAGCUGCUUAGCCCACUGCCUGACACAUAUAUAAAUGUUAGCUAUUAUUGUAAGCCCUAUAUAUUAUAGCAUAGAUAAUUGCUUAUAUUAAAAUAGAGCCGUAUUAAAUAUA